UACGGAGGGUGCAAGCGUUAUCCGGAUUUACUGGGUUUAAAGGGUGCGUAGGUGGCGGGGUAAGUCUGGUGUGAAAUCUCCGAGCUCAACUCGGAAAAGCAUUGGAAACUAUCCCGCUAGAGGGUCGGAGGGGAGACUGGAAUUCUCGGUGUAGCGGUGAAAUGCGUAGAUAUCGAGAGGAACACCUGCGGCGAAGGCGGGUUGCUGGGCUGACACUGACGCUGAGGCGCGAAAGCUAGGGGAGCGAACGGG
rnacentral:rRNA from 1 species